GUGGGGAAUCUUCCGCAAUGGACGAAAGUCUGACGGAGCAACGCCGCGUGGGUGAAGAAAUCCCUCGGGAUGUAAAGCCCUGUUGUAUGGGAAGAGCAGAAGACGGUACCAUACGAGGAAGCCCCGGCAAACUACGUGCCAGCAGCCGCGGUAAUACGGAGGGGGCUAGCGUUGUUCGGAAUUACUGGGCGUAAAGCGCACGUAGGCGGACUGGAAAGUCAGGGGUGAAAUCCCGGGGCUCAACCCCGGAACUGCCUUUGAAACUCCCAGUCUUGAGUUCGAGAGAGGUGAGUGGAAUUCCGAGUGUAGAGGUGAAAUUCGUAGAUAUUCGGAGGAACACCAGUGGCGAAGGCGGCUCACUGGCUCGAUACUGACGCUGAGGUGCGAAAGCGUGGGGAGCAAACAGGAUUAGAUACCCCAGUAGUCC
rnacentral:rRNA from 1 species